UCUCCUGGGAAACGGGUGGUAAUGCCGGAUGCUCCAUCACACUGCAUGGUGUGUUGGGAAAGCCUUUGCGGCAUGGGAUGGGGUCGCGUCCUAUCAGCUUGAUGGCGGGGUAACGGCCCACCAUGGCUUCGACGGGUAGCCGGCCUGAGAGGGCGACCGGCCACAUUGGGACUGAGAUACGGCCCAGACUCCUACGGGAGGCAGCAGUGGGGAAUAUUGCACAAUGGGCGCAAGCCUGAUGCAGCGACGCCGCGUGAGGGAUGGAGGCCUUCGGGUUGUAAACCUCUUUUGUUAGGGAGCAAGGCAUUUUGUGUUGAGUGUACCUUUCGAAUAAGCACCGGCUAACUACGUGCCAGCAGCCGCGGUAAUACGUAGGGUGCAAGCGUUAUCCGGAAUUAUUGGGCGUAAAGGGCUCGUAGGCGGUUCGUCGCGUCCGGUGUGAAAGUCCAUCGCUUAACGGUGGAUCCGCGCCGGGUACGGGCGGGCUUGAGUGCGGUAGGGGAGACUGGAAUUCCCGGUGUAACGGUGGAAUGUGUAGAUAUC
rnacentral:rRNA from 1 species